rnacentral:lncRNA from 1 species
GUUAUUAUCUUAUGUAUUUUGCGUUCAAUCUCAUAUGCUACUUUUGAAAGUAAAAUGUGUUUAAACAAAAAACAAAACAAAAUCGAAGAUAAGUCACACAACAAAAUACUCAAAGUAACAAACUUGUACAUUUGAUACUUGUACAUGUAUGUCACAGAAAUCACUAAUUCAUAACAAUGUUAAGUUUUUUUUAAACAAUACAACGGAGACUAAUAAUAUGACCUCACUUUACUUUUUUCUGUUCUUGUAAUUCAUCUACACAAACUGUCUAUAAAUAAUAUAAUACGA